rnacentral:rRNA from 1 species
UCGAGAAGCUUCGGCAAUGGGGGAAACCCUGACCGAGCGACGCCGCGUGAGCGAUGAAGGCCCUAGUGGUUGUAAAGCUCUGUCAGAUUGGGAAUAAAUGCCGGGGGCGAAUAACCCCUGGAGCUGAAGGUACCGUCAGAGGAAGCACCGGCUAACUCCGUGCCAGCAGCCGCGGUAAUACGGAGGGUGCAAGCGUUGUUCGGAUUCACUGGGUAUAAAGGGUGCGUAGGCGGCCUCGCAAGUCAGAGGUGAAAGCUGCCGGCUUAACUGGCAAAUUGCCUUUGAAACUGCGAGGCUUGAGUCCGGGAGAGGAAGGCGGAAUUCCUGGUGUAGCGGUGAAAUGCGUAAAUAUCAGGAGGAACACCGGUGGCGAAGGCGGCCUUCUGGUCCGGUACUGACGCUGAGGCACGAAAGCCAGGGGAGCAAACG